rnacentral:rRNA from 1 species
GACGAACGCUGGCGGCGUGCUUAACACAUGCAAGUCGAACGAAGAGCGAUGGAAGCUUGCUUCUAUCAAUCUUAGUGGCGCACGGGUGAGUAACGCGUAAUCAACCUGCCCUUCAGAGGGGGACAACAGUUGGAAACGACUGCUAAUACCGCAUACGAUCUAAUCUCGGCAUCGAGGAUAGAUGAAAGGUGGCCUCUACAUGUAAGCUAUCACUGAAGGAGGGGAUUGCGUCUGAUUAGCUAGUUGGAGGGGUAACGGCCCACCAAGGCGAUGAUCAGUAGCCGGUCUGAGAGGAUGGACGGCCACAUUGGGACUGAGGCACGGCCCAGACUCCUACGGGAGGCAGCAGUGGGGAAUCUUCCGCAAUGGACGAAAGUCUGACGGAGCAACGCCGCGUGAGUGAUGACGGCCUUCGGGUUGUAAAGCUCGGUUAAUCGGGACGAAAGGCCUUCUUGCGAAUAGUGAGAAGGAUUGACGGUACCGGAAUAGAAAGCCACGGCUAACUACGUG